AAGAUGGAGAAUCUCCACUUCCAGAAGUUUCAUUUAUAUGAAAUUUACUAGAAUCUAUAUUAGACAUUUAAACAUUUUAAUAUUUUUAUGAAACUUGUUUAGACUUCCCUUUCUCUUGAAAGUGUCUCUGGAAGUUCCAGGAGACCUCAAACCAUACUUUGAGAACCAAUAAUAGUGACCUCUAGAUUUUUUUUUUAUUAUCAUAAACCUUUCAGCAAAAACCCCAGUACUAUCUGCCACCACCCCACUUUAACCCCUUGGAAUAUACAAUCAGGUAAUAUUUAGACAGGUUGCAUCUUUUUAUUUCCUAAGAUUUCCCCAAGUUAUAGGUCUGGACAAGGAGCCAAAUAUCUGCCAUUAGUCAUUUUAAUUAGGACCAGGCAGGGCAUAAGAAAGCUCCUAAGUGAAUCACAGACACACCCACGCCCCCCAAAAAAAAAUCACUCCCAGAGAGAGACCAAUGGAAAAACAACGAGACCGGAAGAGCUAUGAUCCUUAAGAAGCACCACGCCGUUGAUCAUAGUCUGCUUGCAGCCAGUCUGCGAGGAACCGGAGCGGGAGCGCUGAAAGCGAGAGCCCAGCCCAGCAGGACAAGCCCGCCGGUCCAAAUAGGUUUUAGGCAGGGAAUCAGCGCCGCUAAUUGUCAAAGGCCGACGGAGCCAGAGGACUGAACCCCAGCAGCAGUUACUUUUAUGUGUCUUCGAUUUACCCGGUCUGGAUUGCCCCGGUUCUGGGUGUUCGUCUUUGUCUUCAUGCUUUUAAGACGCAAUGAUGCCUCAGCAGAGGAAGAAUCUUUUCUGAGAAGGAACCAGGGAGAGUCUAUCCUGUUCCACAUAGGCAAAGAUUUUGGAAAUAAGACUCUAUCGAUUGAAUGGAAUUUUCUGACUGAGAAUAUACGCCUACUCAAACUCUGGCCAGAUCAAAGCAAGCCAAUGUGGAUCAAUACUCAGCAGAGAUUCAAAAGCAGACUAUUUAUACAUGACUUAAGUUCUCUGAUGAUCACAAAUCUGACCUCUAAAGAUAGUGGAAAUUAUGAAGCUCACAUUAAAUCAGUCUUGGGAAAGGUGAAUAUCCAAAAUUUCAUAUUAACUGUUUCAGGAUCUAACAUGAAAACAUGCAAUCUGUGGCUUCUGCUUGGCAGCCUGGUCCUAGUGGUGAUACACUUGGAAUAAUACAUUUAUGGAAAUUUCAAUAUAACCUGAAGAAAGAGGCAAGAUGAUUUUGCUCCUUCCCUGGAAAGAAGUGAAGAUCAUUGAGCUAGGCACAGAAAAUGGUACAUGGUAUAAUGGUCAAGCAAAUAUUGAAAUAAAAAACCAGGAAUUAGUGUGAUCACAAAAAGCCCAAAGUUCGCAUCCUAGUUCUUCCAAUUUUCCCCUUUCUGGGGCUGGCAAGGUGAAUGACUUGUUUGAGGUUAUAUAAAAAUAAUUCUAAAUAUAGAUAUUACAAAAUCACCAUUAUUAGACUACAAGAAAGAUUCUGAAUAUGGGGCAAACCAGGGGUUAUGAGAAGCUGAUCUAGGAGGGAUGGAGAAUAUUAGAAAAGAUAACUACAGUAUUCUAUAAAAAUAUUUCACAAACUCCAAAAUAACUUCCAAUCAAUUAAGUUACCUUUUUUUUCAUGUAACCAUGGAUAAUAAUUAAUCAUUUUCUUUACUUUAUUUCUUUAUGUACGCAUGCUUGGUAAACUCUAGAAUUUAUCCUUUUAUAUAUAUAUAU